rnacentral:rRNA from 1 species
GACGAACGCUGGCGGCGUGCUUAACACAUGCAAGUCGAACGGAAAGGCCCUACUUUUGUGGGGUGCUCUAGUGGCGAACGGGUGAGUAACACGUGAGUAACCUGCCUUUGACUUUGGGAUAACUUCAGGAAACUGGGGCUAAUACCGGAUAGGAGCUCCGGCUGCAUGGCGGGGGUUGGAAAGUUUCGGCGGUUUGGGCUGUAAUCGCGGCUUAUCAGCUUGUUUGUGGGGUAGUGGCUUACCCAGGCGUUGACGGGUAGCCGGCCUGAGAGGGUGAACCGGCACAUUGGGACUGAGAUGCGGCCCGGACUCGUACGGGAGGCAGCGGUGGGGGUUAGUGGACAAUGGGCGGAAGCAGGAUACAGCAACGCCGCGUGCGAGAUGACGGCUUUCGGGUUUUAAACCGUUUUCGCCUAUGACGAAGCGUGAGUGACGGUAAUUGGUAAAGAAGCAACGGCUAACUACGUG